GGGGACCCGCACAAGCGGUGGAGUAUGUUCUUUAAUUCGAUGCAACGCGAAGAACCUUACCUGGGCUUGACAUCACCGAAAUCACCUUUAUACGGUGAGUGCCUCGAUUUAUCGAGGAAUCGUGUGACAGGUGCUGCAUGGCUGUCGUCAGUUCGUGUCGUGAGAUGUUGGGUUAAGUCCCGCAACGAACGCAACCCCUGUCUUUAGUUACCAGCAUUAAGUUGGGGACUCUAGAGAGACUGCCAAGGUGACAACUUGGAGGAAGGUGGGGACGACGUCAAGUCAUCAUGGUCCUUACGUCCAGGGCUAGAAACGUACUACAAUGGUUGGCACAGAGGGGAGCAACACAGCGAUGUGAAGCAAAUCCUUAAAACCAACCUCAGUUCGGAUUGGAGUCUGCAACUCGACNCCAUGAAGUUGGAAUCGCUAGUAAUCGCGGAUCAGCAAUGCCGCGCUGAAUACGUUCCCGGGUCUUGUACACACCGCCCGUCAAG
rnacentral:rRNA from 1 species